UUAAAGUUUGAUUUUGGCUUAUUGAAUUUGCUAUUUAUUGGUUGUACAUGUAUAUUUUUGUGGGAUUUAUUUUUUCUUAAUGGUUGAAAUUGAAAUUAGUUCUCAGUUCUUUAUUUUAAAAAUUAUGGAAGUAUAGAUUUAGUUAAUUAAUAGAAUUCUGACUAAUAUUGUGCCAGCAGUCGCGGUUAUACAGUAAGAGUAAGUGAAUUUAUUUUGGUUUGUAUUUAUUUUGGUUUGUAUUUAUUUAAGUUUAUGAUUUUAGAGUGAAAUCGAAGUUUUUUGUUAGGUAAAUUUUAGGAUUUAAAUAUGAAAGUUCAGUGUGAAACUGGGAUUAGAGACCCCAUUAUUAUGAACAGUAAUUUGAUAAUCUUGGUAUUAGUAGUUAUGGUCUUUAAAUUAAAAGAAUUUGGCGGUAAUUUAGUCUAUUCAGAGGAACCUGUCCUGUAAUCGAUAUUCCACGAUGAAUUUUACUUUACCUAUGCUUGUAUAUCUCUGUCAUUGAAUGUCUUAUUAGGGUAUUUUCUUUAAUCUUUAAUGUGUAAGAUGUCAGGUCAAGGUGCAGUUAUGGGAAAGAAGAGGUGGGUUACAUUGAAUUUAUUUAUGGAUAGUGAAUAUGGAAAUUUUCUUGAAAUUGGAUUUGGAAGUAAUUUCUAUUAGAAUAUAGAUUUGAUUUUAGCUCUAAGUUAUGUACAUAUCGCCCGUCGCUCUCGUUAAUUUAAAAUGAGAUAAGUCGUAACAAAGUAGAUUUAUUGGAAAGUGAAUCUGGUGUGUU
rnacentral:ncRNA from 1 species